UCAAGAAUAUUCCCCAAUGGACGAAAGUCUGAGGGAGCGACGCCGCGUGUAGGAAGAAACCCUUCGGGGCGUAAACUACUUUUCUUAGGGACGAACUUCGGUGACGGUACCUAAGGAAUAAGAGGCUGCUAACUUCGUGCCAGCAGCAGCGGUAAUACGAAGGCCUCAAGCGUUAUCCGGAUUUAUUGGGCGUAAAGCGUUCAACGGCGGUUUGUUAAGUCAGCGGUAAAAUCUUGGGGCUCAACCCUAAGGCCGCCGCUGAAACUGGCAGACUCGAGGGCAGGAGAGGCAGACGGAAUUACCGGUGUAGUAGUAAAAUGCGUUAAUAUCGGUAAGAACACCAAUUGCGAAGGCAGUCUGCUAGAAUGCAUCUGACGCUCAAGAACGAAAGCGUGGGGAG
rnacentral:rRNA from 1 species